rnacentral:rRNA from 1 species
GGAAAUUCCCUAAACGGCCGCAGAAUAUUAACUGUGCUAAGGUAGCAUAAUCAUUUGUCUCUUAAUUAGAGACUAGUAUGAACGGCUAAACGAAAUUUAACUGUCUUCUUUUAUAUUAAAUAAAAUUUAAUCUUAAAGUCAAAAAGCUUUAAUAUAAUAAAAAGACAAAAAGACCCCAUAGAGUUUAAUUUUAAUCUAAUUUUAAAAAUAAAAUUAUAAAAUUUAGUUGGGGCAACUAAGAAAAAAAGAAUUUUUCUAUAAAAAAAUAAAAUAAUCUAUCAUUAAAUUAAUAACACAAAACAAAUUACCUUGGGGAUAACAGCAUAAAUUUCUUUGAGAGCCCAAAUCGAAAAGAAAAAUUAU